GGGCGAUUAGCUCAGUGGAUAGAGCGUUGGCCUCCGGAGCCAAAGGUCGCGGGUUCAAGUCCCGCAUCGCCCUCCA
rnacentral:tRNA from 1 species